GUUCCUGGCUUGGCUUCUUUGAGGCUGGGGGAGGGCAGGUUUGCACUCCCGGGGCUCCGGGCUUUCAGGCUAAGUCUAGACAGGUAACAAGCCUGAGGCUGAAGCAGUUCAGUCUUUUCAGGUUAGUCUAAACUACAUCGAUUGAACAGAUAAGUAAGUGAACAGACGUUCAAGGCUAGCCUGCCCAGCCUGCAAGGAACGGUUUGCAGGGGAAGCAUAGGGUUGCCAGCUGUCUGACUGAAGCUAUUCUGGGAAAUUUCUUUCAGCCAACAUGAGGGUUAUCAUCUCUUAAAAACAAAGUGAAAUUUCAUAUGGAAAUCUUCCACACAAUUGUGACAUCAAUACCUCCACAGAUGCUCUUAUCUCAGAGAAAAUGAGGAUCCCUGCACAUCACAUACCUUGAAGCUCUUAACAUCCAAGGCAUUGCCUCACCAGGACUUAUUCAGCAUGUGCCCCAAGUCCCAUUAAAUGGGAGUAUCUGAUGUUGCUUCCUGCUAUCUGUGCUGUGAAAAGAUAUACCCAACAAGCAAAGAGAAAACUGUAAGAGAUAUGCAGCUUCUGAUGAAAUGGUUAGUGACCCAAAAUGGACUCGACCGAUGAAUGGAGGUACCCUGUUUAGAGGCUGGAUUCACUGUCUGCAUCCUUUGAAUUCAGGCAGCAAAGUAUGAACAAAGACACAUGCGGUCCAUAGGCAGCUCCAGGAAAACAAAAAUGGUUGUGGUCUUCUCUGUAGGAAAGCUGCUAGGUGCUAAACGCAAAGCUGUUACUACUUUAUCUUACAGUUUCCUGAAUUUACAUUUUUUCUGCUACUUGUUCAAGUAAUAUUUUCUUUCAUUUUCUAUUCUUGAGCUUCAGGGUAAGGAUCAUUAUAGUAAUUGAUUAAUAAUAUGGAACAACAGGUGUGCAUACCACUUUUCAGACAAGAAAUGGUAGGUCCUUAUAUCACUGACAGUUUUACUCUGACUACACACGGAACUCAAAAAGCAUGUAACAGACAACAAAAUAGCAUACUAUUGUAAUUGGUGAAGAAUAUAAAAUAUGGCUCCAUCCUAAAAAGUGUCAGAAAUGGCACUGUUGGGUUUCAUACUUACUGAAUCUUACUGAUUCUCAUAGCAAAUGGCUUAGUUUUGAAGUAUUAAAUUGCCAUCUUUGGAAACUCACCCCAGACACUGACAAUUAAGCUAUUUUUUUCUUAUAAGCUGUAUCAUCACUAAUUACAGAGGUUCUUAUGACCAUAGAAAUACUUGCAUGACCUAAUGACCUUUGGUUUAUGCUCUCACCCCCAAUGGUUCAUAUGGAGUCACACUUAUUUCACCAAAAUCGUAACCUGAAAAUAGUGCCCAAGUAUAAGUGUGGGACAUAAUUUGUUCUGCAGAAUCUACAUAACUGUUGCAAGAUGAUAUGGAAAAAGAAUCCAGAUAGUAUAUCAGAACCCAGGCUGAGUUAAAAUAAAUGUCUACUAUCUG